rnacentral:rRNA from 1 species
UCUGCGAUUUCCGAAUGGGGAAACCCAACUGCAUAAGCAGUUACUGUUAACUGAAUACAUAGGUUAACAGAGCAAACCGGGGGAACUGAAACAUCUAAGUACCCCGAGGAGAAGAAAUCAACCGAGAUUCCGGUAGUAGCGGCGAGCGAACCUGGAUUAGCCCUUAAGCACUCGGUGAAGUAGGUGAACAAGCUGGAAAGCUUGGCGAUACAGGGUGAUAGCCCCGUAACCGACGCUUCAUCGAGCGUGAAAUCGAGUAGGGCGGGACACGUGAUAUCCUGUCUGAAUAUGGGGGGACCAUCCUCCAAGGCUAAAUACUCCUGACUGACCGAUAGUGAACCAGUACCGUGAGGGAAAGGCGAAAAGAACCCCUGUGAGGGGAGUGAAAUAGAACCUGAAACCGUGUACGUACAAGCAGUAGGAGCACCUUCGUGGUGUGACUGCGUACCUUUUGUAUAAUGGGUCAGCGACUUAUAUUCAGUGGCAAGGUUAACCGUAUAGGGGAGCCGUAGCGAAAGCGAGUCUUAACUGGGCGCUCAGUCUCUGGAUAUAGACCCGAAACCG